GAAAGUGUGCUAAAAUAAUGCCCAACCCAUAAGCCAUGGAUGAGAAAUGUAGAUUGUGUUUAAACAAAAUCAGCAGAAAACGCACCACAAUUCUGCAAAAAGACUUUCGUAAAAUGAUGGAGGCAAUUUUCCUCUUUCUCGGUCGUCCACGUUGAGGCUGCACUGGCUGUUCGGCCGCCGUUCGUAACUCGGACGACUCGGACGCGUUCUCGGACAGUUUGGCGGUAGUCGGCAAGGUACGGAGAACGAAAUCCCGAGCAGUUCGUUGAAUGUGGUCGAACCUCACCGAGUUCAUAUCGUUGCAUUCGAACGUGAAGCAAAGAGUUAAUGCCAAAUGAGAUUAAUUUAAAGGCAAGAAUAAAUAAGUACUUUCCGAAGCUCUGGCUAAGUUAAAUAGUCGUAUCGGAUAUCAUCUGGAUUAUAAAAUUUGAAAUAAGAAAUAAAAAUAACUGUAGAAAAAAUCUAA